AAAUUGAAGAGUUUGAUCAUGGCUCAGAUUGAACGCUGGCGGCAGGCCUAACACAUGCAAGUCGAGCGGUAGCACAGAGAGCUUGCUCUCGGGUGACGAGCGGCGGACGGGUGAGUAAUGUCUGGGAAACUGCCUGAUGGAGGGGGAUAACUACUGGAAACGGUAGCUAAUACCGCAUAACGUCGCAAGACCAAAGUGGGGGACCUUCGGGCCUCAUGCCAUCAGAUGUGCCCAGAUGGGAUUAGCUAGUAGGUGGGGUAACGGCUCACCUAGGCGACGAUCCCUAGCUGGUCUGAGAGGAUGACCAGCCACACUGGAACUGAGACACGGUCCAGACUCCUACGGGAGGCAGCAGUGGGGAAUAUUGCACAAUGGGCGCAAGCCUGAUGCAGCCAUGCCGCGUGUGUGAAGAAGGCCUUCGGGUUGUAAAGCACUUUCAGCGGGGAGGAAGGCGUUAAGGUUAAUAACCUUGGCGAUUGACGUUACCCGCAGA
rnacentral:rRNA from 1 species